AAAAAAACAUGGCUGACAAAUAUAGAUGAAGUAUUUUUGACUUCCCGUGACAAGAGAGGUCUGAAUUGGUGUAAGCAUAGACAUUGAGCUUGAGAGAAAUCAAUCUACUUUGAUUUUUUUAAUAUUAGACAUCAGAACAUAUAGCAAGGUAAGGAAACAAUAAUAAAACUAUUUUCAAUGAAUACCAAUCUUGCAUCCCUGAAUUUAGCAUACUGAAAGUCACAAAAUAUCAAAACCAAUCAACUUAAAUCUAGAUUAAGUACUUUCAGUACUUUACAAGUGUCUUAAGUUUAUCAGUAUUAUUCACGCAUCAGAUUACCUUUUGUUAUUACGUUCACUGUAUAAAAUGAAAAUUAAUUAAUCUAUAUUUUAUAUAAAUUUCUAUGAAAACAUGUAAAAUGUUCAUUAUUCGAUAUAAUAAAAUGUGCAAAAAUGAAAACAAAAUCUAUGUGUAUUCAUUUAAAUGGUUCAUGAUAGUCUCUCCUUUAGUUUUAAAUUAUGCUAAUUCUCUUGAAUUCAUUUACACAGAUCGUCUUGUAAUAUUAAAAAAGACCCUGUUUUUCAAAUAGCAAGCAGUCGACUUGAAAAAUAUUUUAAAAAAGGACCCUCUAGAAUUUUCUUCUUUUUCAAUUUAUUUAUUCUGUUAUGGAGGCUAGGUGGUCAACAAACUGACCAUUAGAUCUGCCUUAAACUUUUCUAUAAGAUAUUUUUGGACAUAAACUAACACUUAGUUCAGAAAAAUCCAAAUAUUUUAGCUUUAAAAUUAGAACAUUUUUUAAAUUUCUUUAAACAGCGCACCUCAUUACAAGGAGGUGAAUAUAGCGAUAAAAGCGGCCACGGCAAUCCAGUUCUCUUUAAUAUAAAUUUCCUUAAUAUGUUUACAUCGAUUUACUCAAAAAAGCAAAAGGCAUUUUAAAAUAAGAUGAAAAUGAAAAUGAAAAUAUUGGUGGUUCAGGUGGGGUGUAACAACAAAAUAUUUAUGAAAAUUUAUUGAAAUACAACCACGCAGUAAAUUCAAAAUUUACAAUAUGAUAUUAAUAUGAAAAAAAAUAUAUAAGAAAAAAAAAGACAAAUCAAAUAGUACAACAAAACCAUUUCAUGCAAAAACAUAAUCUCUUUCAAAAC
rnacentral:sRNA from 1 species